UACGGAGGAUUCAAGCGUUAUCCGGAUUUAUUGGGUUUAAAGGGUGCGUAGGCGGCAUUAUAAGUUAGUGGUAAAAUAUUGGGGCUUCACCUCACUACGCCAUUAAUACUGUAGAGCUAGAGAACAGACGAGGUAGGCGGAAUAAGUUAAGUAGCGGUGAAAUGCAUAGAUAUCACGCAGAACUCCGAUCGCGAAGGCAGCCUACCGGCGCGCUACUGACGCUCAUGCACGAAAGCGUGGGUAUCGAACAGG
rnacentral:rRNA from 1 species